CGUCCGCCGGGACCGUUCCUUUACCGGCGGCAAACGCGCAUCCGGAGGUGACGGCUGAUGUGUGAGCGCUGGAAAUGUCACAACUUUGGUAUCCUGACAAACCUGAGCACAGUUUGAUACAUUAUUGAGAUCUCUUCUGAAAUAAGAGAAACUUAUGAGAAGCAGGGGACAAAUCUCCAUUUAUGAUCUAUUUAAUCUCAAGGCUGUAUACAGGGUGUCCUGCAGCAGCCUGUCAUUGAGAUGAAUGGGAAUACUGCUGGACGGCUCUCUCCAGGUGAAGCAGACCUACUUCAGUCAAAG